CCAAAACCGGCCCCAAGUAGGGUUUUCGCUGUCCAAAGUGUGUUCGACUAAUCCCUUAUACUCUCACAGCAUAGAACCCUAAGCAGCACAACACACUUUCUGCUUCAACAAGAAUGGCUGACGUAGUCCAAGAGGUUGGCGUUGUUCCAGAUCCUACUCAGAUCGAUGUCAAGCUUUUCAACCGCUGGAGCUUCGAUGAUGUUCAGAUAUUUCUAUCUUGGCCUAUUCGAUAGCGAACUAGAGGCUGCAAGUGCGGCAGUGAUUAC